AGCGAACGCUGGCGGCAGGCCUAACACAUGUAAGUCGAACGAACUCUUCGGAGUUAGUGGCGGACGGGUGAGUAACACGUGGGAACGUGCCUUUUGGUUCGGAAUAACUCAGGGAAACUUGUGCUAAUACCGAAUGUGCCCUUCGGGGAAAGAUUUAUCGCCAUUAGAGCGGCCCGCGUUAGAUUAGCUAGUUGGUGAGG
rnacentral:rRNA from 1 species